UUUAGGAUUUAGGGUUUGAGUUUAGAGUUUACGAUUUGGGUUUAGGGUUUAGGAUUUGGGUUUAAGAUAUAGAGUUUUGGUUUAGGGUUUAGAUUUAAGGUUUAGGGUUUAGAAUUUAGGGUUUAGGGUUUAGAUUUAAGGUUUAGGGUUUAGAAUUUAAGGUUUAGGGUUUAGUUAGUGGCGUUAGCGUCAUUAAAAUGAGCGUCAUUAUUUUUUUCAAUUAUUUUAGAUUUUUUGUAAAAAAUAAUAUAUUUUAUUAUUAAUCUAUGUGGUAUUUUGAUUG
rnacentral:lncRNA from 1 species